rnacentral:misc_RNA from 1 species
AAGUCGUAACAAGGUUUCCGUAGGUGAACCUGCGGAAGGAUCAUCAACAAAUCCCUCUAAAUACUCAAAACACACCUUUGUGCUCAAAACCCCCUAUAAAUCUAUGCUCUUCUCCGGUCACUUGCUGAUCAAGUGUAUGGUUUGAAUGAGAUCGUCAUUGGUUGUACGAUCCUUCCAUGCAUGAGUUGAGUGUAGGUUUUUUUUUCCCUUACAACCAAAAAAACAACAACAUAAACUCCAAAAAAACACAAUCUUUAUCUAUCUGUUUCUGUUUUUUGUUUUUUUUUCUUUUCAUCUUGUAUGCACACUCGUGUGUAUAUAAUGUGAAAAAAAAAGGAAAUAAAAAUAUAAAAAAACUUGAAAACAACUUUUAACAAUGGAUCUCUUGGUUCUC